rnacentral:tRNA from 1 species
AUUUAAGUAGCUUAAACUAAAGCUUAGUAUUGAAGAUACUAUGAUGACUAUUUAUAGUCUUUAAAUA